rnacentral:rRNA from 1 species
UACAUGGGGUGCAAACGUUGCUCGGAAUCAUUGGGCGUAAAGCGCACGUAGGCGGUUCGUUAUGUCGGAUGUGAAAGCCCUCGGCUUAACCGGGGAAGUGCAUCCGAAACUGGCGAGCUUGAGUACUAAAGAGGGUCGCGGAAUUCCCGGUGUAGAGGUGAAAUUCGUAGAUAUCAGGAGGAACACCAAUGGCGAAGGCAGCUCGCUGGGGCGUGACUGACGCUGAGACGCGAAAGCGUGGGGAGCAAACAGG